GGACAAGUGAAUAAGUGCACAUGGUGGAUGCCUUGGCGAUUACAGGCGAUGAAGGACGUAGUAGCUUGCGAUAAGCUGCGGGGAGUGAGCAAACACACUUUGAUCCGCAGAUUUCCGAAUGGGGAAACCCGGCCUUUUAGGUCAUUGCAUACUGAAUACAUAGGUAUGCAAAGCGAACGCGGCGAACUGAAACAUCUAAGUAGCUGCAGGAAAAUAAAUCAACCGAGAUUCCCAAAGUAGUGGCGAGCGAAAUGGGAUGAGCCUGCAUGAUUUAGCAUGACGCAUAGUGGAACAGAUUGGAAACUCCGGCCAUAGCGGGUGAUAGCCCCGUACACGAAAUGCGAUGUGUGGAACUAAGUAUGCGACAAGUAGGGCGGGACACGAGAAAUCCUGUCUGAACAUGGGGGGACCA
rnacentral:rRNA from 1 species